GAUAACCAAGUAUUACUCUUGGAUCUAGUGUUGGGUUUACAAGUCUGACUUCACCACCACCUGGUGCCCAUGUGUCAUAUGCACCGCCAAUAAAACACCAGUUUACUGACCAUGCUAGUGCACCUACACCCAGAACAAUCAAAUGAUAUCCGAGGAUAUUAGUCAUCUGAUUUUUGUCUCUCCA
rnacentral:antisense_RNA from 10 species